UACGGGGGGGGGGCAAGCGUUGUUCGGAAUUACUGGGCGUAAAGGGCGCGUAGGCGGCCUUCUAAGUCGGACGUGAAAUCCCUCGGCUUAACCGAGGAACUGCGUCCGAUACUGAAAGGCUUGAAUCCGGGAGAGGGAUGUGGAAUUCCAGGUGUAGCGGUGAAAUGCGUAGAUAUCUGGAGGAACACCGGUGGCGAAGGCGGCAUCCUGGACCGGUAUUGACGCUGAGGCGCGAAAGCUAGGGGAGCAA
rnacentral:rRNA from 1 species